CUCCCAGGAUAGCUCAGUUGGUUGAGCACGAGGCUCUUAAUCUCAGGGUGAUGGAUUCGAGUCCCAGGUUGGGGAGA